rnacentral:rRNA from 1 species
CCUACGGGUGGCAGCAGUGGGGAAUAUUGCACAAUGGGGGAAACCCUGAUGCAGCGACGCCGCGUGAGCGAAGAAGUAUCCCGGUAUGUACAGCUCUAUCAGCAGGGAAGAAAAUUACGGUACCUGACUAAGAAGCCCCGGCUAACUACGGGCCAGCAGCCGCGGUAAUACGUAGGGGGCAAGCGUUAUCCGGAUUUACUGGGUGUAAAGGGGGCGUAGACGGCAGCACAAGUCUGGAGUGAAAUGCCGGGGCUUAACCCCGGGACUGCUUUGGAAACUGGGCAGCUAGAGUGGAGGAGAGGUAAGUGGAAUUCGUAGUGUAGCGGUGAAAUGCGUAGAUAUUAGGAAGAACACCAGUGGCGAAGGCGGCUUACUGGACUGUAACUGACGUUGAGGCUCGAAAGCGUGGGGAGCAAACAGGAUUAGAUACCCCUGUAGUC